AACCCAGCGCCGGCCUGUUUAAACUGGCCUACGCCUGCGGUUAUCCCACACACACAGUGAGAGAGGGAGAGACAUUUUUUACCACCCACCGUGUGUAAGUGUGCAGAGACGAAUAAUAAUAACUUUACAACGCAGUCGUCCUAAGGGCGUAUUAAUUGAAAGAGCACUUCGCAAAUUUGUUUAAUGUGAUGACGAUGAUAGCUACGGGCUAGACCUAAAUUGGUCGACUCAAGUUUCUUUUAUAGAUGAUAGUCGAGGCACCUCCACGGGCAGGGAUAUAGUGUGGGGGUAGUGGGACAACCACUUGAGUGAGGUCGUUGGUGUAGGGAAGAGGACGGGGCCUGAGGACGUCGUGGACUUCGAGCGGAAGCGGUGCGUAGACGCGAAGACGUCCCAUGAUGUACUUCACUGGAUCUUGUGUACCUUCCCCUAUUCAAGGUCCUUCUCUAGUUUACGGAGUAACUCCACUUCGCGUUUUUGUAGUGUGCCAAAGAUCCUAUAACACGGCUGUGUGUUCCCUCUCACCAUCUGAAACUCCCUUCGAAACAUUACCGUCUACAUGCUGCUGUCAAGGAGACAAAAUUCAUAGCUGUGUUUCUAUGCAUGUCACCUCAACUUACCUCUCUCGUGAUAGUUUAUUAGUUUCCUUUAACGUUCCCAAAUACCAUGGAAGUGGCAUUAGUAUAACAAGUAAACCUGGAUUUUGGACUAUUAUAUAACAACCUACUAUUAUACCAUGGCUUUUAUCGACUGAAACCAGAGAGUUUCAUGAAAGCACGGCCUAAUAGUAAAGUUUUAAACCUACUUGUAGCCCAAUAAACCGUGGUCUUAAGAUGCCACCUUUUGAGUGUAAGUUCAGUCUGUAUAUGUCAAACCCACAAUAUUAGUAUCUCUAUAAUUAUACAGUAUACUUUAUAUGGUUUCUGACGAGACGAAACUCAUAUAUGGGUUUCCCAUAGAAAUACUAAUAUAGUGGCCAGUGUAAGUUCAGUCUGUAUAUGUCAAACCCACAAUAUUAGUAUCUCUAUGAUUGUACUGUAUACCCUAUAUGGUUUCUAACGAGACGAAACUCAUACAUGGAUUUCCCUCAGAAGUACUAAUAUAGUGGCUACGUAGAGCACCUGAACUUACCCCGUUCUCCAUAGAUUAACAAUUUCCUUAAACACUCCCGAAUAUAAUGGAACUUCUUCUUUCAUAAUAAGUGAAUCUAGACUUUGGUCGGUUAUAUAGCUACCUGUUGUUAUACAACGGGUUUUAAUGGCUGAAACCAGAGGGUUCUACAUUCUACAAUACUACUUUUAGUUUUAACCUAGUUACAUUCGGCUAAUUCACAGAGUUUCGAGUAAUUACCACCGAAACGUCACCAAAUAUUCGACGUCCCUUAAGAAAUUUUACCCCGUUAGCGACACUUCUUCGAAAGGUUGUGUAGAAUAUAAGUACUAUCGCUUAAGACUACUCUCCAACUUACAAACUACUUCCGGUUCGUGUUUUUCAUGCCAAAUACUCAAUAAACCGAUACGUGUACCCCUUUACCGAAGGAUGCUCCCUUUUUAAAGGUACCGUCCACAUGUUGUCUCCAACGAGACGAAACUCAUAGAUUGCUUUCCUUCAGAAACACUGAUAUACUGGCUUACGAAUACCUAUACUUACCGCUCUCACGAUACUGUAUUAGCUUCCUUAAACACUCCCAAAUUCAAUAGAGGUGUUCUUGGUAUAACAAGUGAAGUUGAAUUUUGGCUGUUUAUAUGAAAUACCUUAUAUGAUACCAAGGAUUUUAUUGACUGAAACCAUAGAGUUCUACAAAACUACUUUGUUCCUGAACAAUAAUGAAGUUUUCACUACCCUAAUCACCUUAUAAAAAAAGAUCUUCAAGAAAAGUCACCUUAUUAGUGCAAGUUUUGUCUGU
rnacentral:rRNA from 1 species